AUUGGCGGCCAAAGCGGAGAGGUUUACCUGUUCCCGUUUCGAACACAGAAGUCAAGCUCUCCUGCGGUCUGGGGUGUACUGGGCAUGAGCCUGGGAAACCCAGUUCGCUGCCACUU
rnacentral:rRNA from 1 species